AACAUCAACUCACAGCAUCUAAUCUCACAGGUAACUAAUGCUCAUGGUUGUAACACUAUAUAUUUAUGAGAAGUUUGCCACUGGAUUGAGGACUUUUCAGUAGGGAGGACUAAGCAUGUUAUCUUUUAUGGAGAGUCAUUGUCAGAUGUAGAAGUAACUUCAGGGUUGUGCCAGGGAAGGGUGUCGAGUCCUUUACUGUUCGUAUUGUAUAUUAAUGCGAUUGCAGACAAUAUUAAUACUUAUCUCAGACUUUCGCAGGUGGUGCAGUUAUCUGUGAUGAAGUACUGUCUGGAAGAAGGUGCAUAAAUAUUGUCAGCUAUUGAUAAGAUAGCAAAGUGUUGCGAAGAUUGACAACUUGCUCUAAAUGUUCAGAAAGAUGGAACCAAGGGUAGAUAGUGGCCUCCGAGCUGUUUCUUUACUUACAUCUGUACCUUUGUUGAAUUACAUUAUCAUAGUGCAAGUUGGUCAUACAAUUUUGAUGCAAAAGUGAACCUGAAAACAUGAUAAAAUGUGGACGUCUCUGGAGAAAGCUCAGUGUGUGGGGCCUGGUAGAUACAGACGAUACCUGAUACCCAAAUGCAACAAACCUUUCAGACUUGGAAUACAUCAUUUAUGGAAACAGGUAGUGUUCUCCAUAAAAAAAACAGGGCUGGUCACCACGAGUUUCAGAUGCCAUUGUGGACAGGGUACGGCAGGCGUUUGCAAGGAGUUCUAUAAAAUCUGUAUGUACUGCAGCCAGGGAGUUGGAAAUGAGAAGAUCGACAUGGCACAAUCUCUUGCAUAAGAGGAGUUCCUGUUACAUAUACAGCACUUGACACUGCUUGUGAGAAAACAUUAUUAAUCAGCGUUGAUGGUGAACUUGGUCCCUAGCACCCACUAGUGGGCGUCUCCACUUCCAUAGCAGGCAGUAGACAGUUGGACCCUAAAAUAUUUAUAUUAGGGUUUCACAAAACUUUGAAAAAAAUAUUUGGUCAUACAAUUUUGAUGCGAAAUGGAACCUGAAAACCUGCUAAAAUGUGGAUACCAGUGGAUAAAGCUCAAUGUGUGUGGCCUGGUAUAUACAGAUGAUAUCAGAUACCGAAGUGCAAUGAUCCUUUCGGACUUGGAAUACAUCAUUUAUGGAAACAGGAGUUCCUGUUACAUAUACAGCACUGGACACUGCUUGUGAGAAAACAUUAUUAAUCAGCAUUGAUGGUGAACUUGGUCCCUAGCACCCACUAGUGGGCGUCUCCACUUCCAUAGCAGGCAGUAGACAGUUGGACCCUAAAAUAUUUAUAUUAGGGUUUCACAAAACUUUGAAAAAAAUAUUUGGUCAUACAAUUUUGAUGCGAAAUGGAACCUGAAAACCUGCUAAAAUGUGGAUACCAGUGGAUAAAGCUCAAUGUGUGUGGCCUGGUAUAUACAGAUGAUAUCAGAUACCGAAGUGCAAUGAUCCUUUCGGACUUGGAAUACAUCAUUUAUGGAAACAGUGCUCACAAGACAUUUACAGUGGGGUGUGCAGUUGAGAACAGUUCUCCAUCUACCCCUCAGCGCGCACCAGAAUUAUUCAAAGUGGGGCACUCUGCCAAUUCUAAGAAGCAGGCCAAAGAUGUCCUGGUAAGCAGCACAUUGUCAAUGCUGCGAGACAAACAAACAGCAAUGAAUGGGAGCAAUGAGGAUGACAAGUUGGGCGAAUAUGUUGCAGCUGAGCUGAUAACAACUAAAAAUAGAAAAUUAAAUGCAGAGGCAAAGUGAAUGUUAUCAUGAAUGCCAUCAU